AGCGAACGCUGGCGGCAGGCCUAACACAUGCAAGUCGAACGAACCUUUCGGGGUUAGUGGCGGACGGGUGAGUAACACGUGGGAACGUGCCUUUAGGUUCGGAAUAACUCAGGGAAACUUGUGCUAAUACCGAAUGUGCCCUUCGGGGGUAAGAUUUAUCGCCUUUAGAGCGGCCCGCGUCUGAUUCGCUAGUUGGUUGAGGUAAUGGCUCACCAAGGCGACGAUCAGUAGCUGGUCUGUGAGGAUGAUCAGCCACAUUGGGACUGAGACACGGCCCAAAAUCGUACGGGAGGCAGCAGUGGGGAAUCUUGCGCAAGGGGCGAAAGCCUGACGAAGCCAUGCCGGGUGAAUGAUGAAGGUCUUAGGAUUGUAAAAUUCUUUCACCGGGGACGAUAAUGACGGUACCCGGAGAAGAAGCCCCGGCUAACUUCGUG
rnacentral:rRNA from 1 species